CACUUGGCCUUCUUCUGCAGUAAACUCUUGUAUGAACAACACAAGGGGCAUUAUGACAUCCUGGCUUCAUGGCUAUGCUCACCCCUGGGUGGGGACUUGGACUGUGGAUUGGCACUGGCUUGGACGGGACUGAAAACGCCAGGAUCUGAGGAUAACUGUGGAUUGCUGCGCCUUCUCCAGCCUUAAGCCCCGUCAAGUCCCCCUCUGAUCGAGGAGCAGAAGUCAGCACUGACAAUGAUAACUAUCGAAUCAAAAUCGAUCGAAACAAUUCAUGUUAUCGUUAGU
rnacentral:sRNA from 1 species